GUAGUCAUAUGCUUGUCUCAAAGAUUAAGCCAUGCAUGUCUAAGUAUAAGCACUCUAUACUGUGAAACUGCGAAUGGCUCAUUAAAUCAGUUAUCGUUUAUUUGAUAGUACCUUGCUACAUGGAUACCCGUGGUAAUUCUAGAGCUAAUACAUGCUAAAAACCCCGACUUCGGGAGGGGUGUAUUUAUUAGAUAAAAACCAAUGCCCUUCGGGGCUCUCUGGUGAUUCAUAAUAACUUCUCGAAUCGCACGGCCUUGCGCCGGCGAUGGUUCAUUCAAAUUUCUGCCCUAUCAACUUUCGACGGCUGGGUCUUGGCCAGCCGUGGUGACAACGGGUAACGGGGAAU
rnacentral:rRNA from 1 species